rnacentral:rRNA from 1 species
GACUACAGGGGUAUCUAAUCCUGUUUGCUCCCCACGCUUUCGCGCCUCAGCGUCAAUGUCGGUCCAGAUAGCCGCCUUCGCCACCGGUGUUCUUCCCAAUAUCUACGAAUUUCACCUCUACACUGGGAAUUCCGCUAUCCUCUCCCGAAUUCAAGCCAUCCAGUAUUAAGUGCAGUCCCCAGGUUGAGCCCAGGACUUUCACACCUAACUUAAACGGCCGCCUACGCGCCCUUUACGCCCAGUAAUUCCGAACAACGCUAGCCCCCUUCGUAUUACCGCGGCUGCUGGCACGAAGUUAGCCGGGGCUUAUUCUCCAGGUACAGUCAUCAUCUUCCCUGGCAAAAGAGCUUUACAACCCUAAGGCCUUCAUCACUCACGCGGCAUUGCUGGAUCAGGGUUGCCCCCAUUGUCCAAUAUUCCCCACUGCAGCCGCCCGUAGG